UACGGGGGGAGCAAGCGUUGUUCGGAUUUACUGGGCGUAAAGGGCGCGUAGGCGGCCACCGCAAGUCGGUUGUGAAAUCUCUGGGCUUAACCCAGAAAGGUCAACCGAUACUGCGGGGCUAGAGUGCAGAAGGGGCAACUGGAAUUCUCGGUGUAGCGGUGAAAUGCGUAGAUAUCGAGAGGAACACCUGCGGCGAAGGCGGGUUGCUGGGCUGACACUGACGCUGAAGCGCGAAAGCUAGGGGAGCAAAUGGG
rnacentral:rRNA from 1 species